CCUACGGGUGGCUGCAGUGGGGAAUAUUGGACAAUGGGCGCAAGCCUGAUCCAGCAAUGCCGCGUGAGUGAAGAAGGCCCUAGGGUUGUAAAACUCUUUCAGUCGUGAUGAUGAUGACAGUAACGACAGAAGAAGCACCGGCUAACUUCGUGCCAGCAGCCGCGGUAAUACGAAGGGUGCUAGCGUUGUUCGGAAUUACUGGGCGUAAAGCGCGCGUAGGCGGAUUGACAAGUUAGAGGUGAAAGCCCUGGGCUCAACCCAGGAAUUGCCUUUGAUACUGUUAGUCUUGAGGCCGAGAGAGGUGAGUGGAAUUUCCAGUGUAGAGGUGAAAUUCGUAGAUAUUGGAAAGAACACCAGUGGCGAAGGCGGCUCACUGGCUCGGUACUGACGCUGAGGUGCGAAAGCGUGGGGAGCGAACAGGAUUAGAUACCCUAGUAGUC
rnacentral:rRNA from 1 species